UACGUAGGGUGCAAGCGUUGUCCGGAAUUAUUGGGCGUAAAGAGCUCGUAGGCGGUUUGUCGCGUCUGCUGUGAAAACUCGGGGCUUAACUCCGGGCCUGCAGUGGGUACGGGCAGACUAGAGUGCGGUAGGGGUGACUGGAAUUCCUGGUGUAGCGGUGAAAUGCGCAGAUAUCAGGAGGAACACCGGUGGCGAAGGCGGGACUCUGGGCCGAUACUGACGCUGAGGAGCGAAAGCGUGGGGAGCAAACAGG
rnacentral:rRNA from 1 species